rnacentral:tRNA from 13 species
CGGACUAUGGCGCAGCUUGGUAGCGCACUACACUGGGGGUGUAGGGGUCGCAGGUUCAAAUCCUGUUAGUCCGACAA